AGUCGAGCGCGCCCUUCGGGGUGAGCGGCGGACGGGUUAGUAACGCGUGGGAAUAUACCCUUUUCUACGGAAUAGCCUCUGGAAACGGAGAGUAAUACCGUAUGAGCCCUUCGGGGGAAAGAUUUAUCGGGAAAGGAUUAGCCCGCGUUAGAUUAGGUAGUUGGUGGGGUAAUGGCCUACCAAGCCUACGAUCUAUAGCUGGUUUUAGAGGAUGAUCAGCAACACUGGGACUGAGACACGGCCCAGACUCCUACGGGAGGCAGCAGUGGGGAAUCUUGGACAAUGGGCGCAAGCCUGAUCCAGCCAUGCCGCGUGAGUGAUGAAGGCCUUAGGGUCGUAAAGCUCUUUCGCCUGUGAAGAUAAUGACGGUAGCAGGUAAAGAAACCCCGGCUAACUCCGUGCCAGCAGCCGCGGUAAUGCGGAGGGGGUUAGCGUUGUUCGGAAUUACUGGGCGUAAAGCGCACGUAGGCGGAUUGGAAAGUAUGGGGUGAAAUCCCAGGGCUCAACCCUGGAACUGCCUCAUAAACUCCCAGCCUUGAGUUCGAGAGAGGUGAGUGGAAUUCCAAGUGUAGAGGUGAAAUUCGUAGAUAUUUGGAGGAACACCAGUGGCGAAGGCGGCUCACUGGCUCGAUACUGACGCUGAGGUGCGAAAGUGUGGGGAGCAAACAGGAUUAGAUACCCUGGUAGUCCACACCGUAAACGAUGAAUGCCAGUCGUCGGGUAGCAUGCUAUUCGGUGACACACCUAACGGAUUAAGCAUUCCGCCUGGGGAGUACGGUCGCAAGAUUAAAACUCAAAGGAAUUGACGGGGGGCCCGCACAAGCGGUGGAGCAUGUGGUUUAAUUCGAAGCAACGCGCAGAACCUUACCAACCCUUGA
rnacentral:rRNA from 1 species